rnacentral:rRNA from 1 species
UGGGGAAUAUUGGACAAUGGGCGCAAGCCUGAUCCAGCCAUGCCGCGUGAGUGACGAAGGUCUUCGGAUUGUAAAGCUCUUUUGGCGGGGACGAUAAUGACGGUACCCGCAGAAUAAGCCCCGGCUAACUUCGUGCCAGCAGCCGCGGUAAUACGAAGGGGGCUAGCGUUGUUCGGAAUUACUGGGCGUAAAGCGCACGUAGGCGGAUUUGCCAGUCAGGGGUGAAAUCCCGGGGCUCAACCUCGGAACUGCCCUUGAUACAGCAAGUCUUGAGUCCGGAAGAGGUGAGUGGAAUUCCUAGUGUAGAGGUGAAAUUCGUAGAUAUUAGGAAGAACACCAGUGGCGAAGGCGGCUCACUGGUCCGGUACUGACGCUGAGGUGCGAAAGCGUGGGGAGCAAACA